rnacentral:rRNA from 1 species
CCUACGGGUGGCAGCAGUGGGGAAUAUUGCACAAUGGGGGACCCCCUGAUGCAGCGACGCCGCGUGAGUGAAGAAGUCCUUCUUUAUGUAAAGCUCUAUCAGCCGGGAAGAAAAUUACGGUACCUGAGUAAGACGCCCCGGCUCACUACGUUCCAGCCGCCGCGGUAAUACGUAGGGGGCAAGCGUUAUCCGGAUUUACUGGGUGUAACGGGAGCGUAGACGGCAGUGCAAGUCUGGAGUGAAAGGCGGGGGCUCAACCCCCGGACUGCUCUGGAAACUGUACGGCUGGAGUGCAGGAGAGGUAAGUGGAAUUCCUAGGGGAGCGGUGAAAUGCGUAGAGAUUAGGAGGAACACCAGUGGCGAAGGCGGCUUACUGGACUGUAACUGACGUUGAGGCUCGAAAGCGUGGGGAGCAAACAGGAUUAGAUACCCGUGUAGUC